rnacentral:rRNA from 1 species
GGGUUGUGAGGUUAAGCGACUAAGCGUACACGGUGGAUGCCCUGGCAGUCAGAGGCGAUGAAGGACGUGCUAAUCUGCGAUAAGCGCCGGUAAGGUGAUAUGAACCGUUAUAACCGGCGAUUUCCGAAUGGGGAAACCCAGUGUGACUCGUCACACUAUCAUUAACUGAAUCCAUAGGUUAAUGAGGCGAACCGGGGGAACUGAAACAUCUAAGUACCCCGAGGAAAAGAAAUCAACCGAGAUUCCCCCAGUAGCGGCGAGCGAACGGGGAGGAGCCCAGAGCCUGAAUCAGCAUGUGUGUUAGUGGAAGCGUCUGGAAAGGCGCGCGAUACAGGGUGACAGCCC